UCGAGGAUUUUUGGCAAUGAGCGCAAGCUUGACCUAGCGACGCCGCGUGCGGGAUGAAGGCCUUCGGGUUGUAAACCGCUGUCAGUGGGGAGGAAAGUUUUGUGAAGAGCAAAACUUGACUAAUCCGCAGAGGAAGUGAGGGCUAAGCUCGUGCCAGCAGCCGCGGUAAGACGAGCCUCACAAACGUUAUUCGGAAUCACUGGGCUUAAAGGGUGCGUAGGCGGUGCGGAGAGUCGGGUGUGAAAUACCUCAGCUUAACUGAGGAACUGCACUCGAUACUUCCGUGCUAGAGUAAGACAGAGGUAAGUGGAACUGAGGGUGGAGCGGUGAAAUGCGUUGAUAUCCUCAGGAACACCGGUGGCGAAGGCGACUUACUGGGUCUUUACUGACGCUGAUGCACGAAAGCCAGGGUAGCAAACGG
rnacentral:rRNA from 1 species